UCAGUAUAAGAAAAGCUGUUAUUAUGAUUAUUAUUAUGUAAUACUAUAUGGAUGACUUGGAGCAGACUUUGUUAGCAAAUGGUUCAAGGACCCUAUAAUUUUUAGGAUCAAUUCAGAUUCUACAUUCUAUAUAUUUAAUCUUGAAAAAAAUAUCCGUAGAUUUAUAUCAGUAAAAAUAUCCAAAUGUAAUGAAAAUAUGCCAGAUUCCCCACGCGAUCCGACUAAUUGUGUCUGAAUUCUCUGUGCAACCCCCCCCCCCCGGUCCCCCAGACAAAGUUGUUCAAGGUAAAGUCGAUUUGCAAGUCAUGUCACUAAACUAGCUAGUAACAUUGUUAUGGAAAAUGAUAUGGAAAUUCAAAAGUCUACAAAGUUUUUUCCAAGGUUUUAUUAAGUAAUAGACAGCUGCCUUCUCCACAAUAUAGACCUUUGGCAAGCUGGACACUUGCACAACUAUUAUAAAAUUGAACCGCUGUUAUGCCUGUAUGUACUGUGCUGCAUAUCGUCACAACACAAUCUAACAAAUCGAAAGUUUUUCAAAUGGCACUCGUCCUUCGGAUCGGACUCUUGCAAUUUUGAUAGUCUUUGAAAAAGUCAUUCGUGCAUGUUUUUUUCCAAAUUGCACUCGAAACCAUAUACUAUUAACCUAUACGAAUCAAAAAGUGGAGUGUGUAUACUCGGUAACUGACCUAAACCCCAUAAGCAGGCAACUAAAUUACAAUGAAGUCCAUUCCAAAGUCCAGUCCACUGUUUAUAAAAUAUGCCUUCAAGUACUCAUGCAGUCGCGCACUAAUCACCAAGUGCAUGGUAUGUUUAAUGUUUGUUUUAAUAGAGAAGACGUUGGCGAAACUGGCAGAGGUAUCGUGUCUUACAGGUUCAGUUCCAAAAUUUUAAGCUCCGAUCAAACGAGGCCUAGAUGAGAGUUGAUGAGAG
rnacentral:lncRNA from 1 species